rnacentral:tRNA from 1 species
GGCGCGAUAGCAAAGCGGUCAUGGAGCGGCUUGUAAAGCUAUGCAUGCUGGUUCGACUCCAGCCCGCCCCC